rnacentral:rRNA from 1 species
GCAAGCCUGAUGCAGCGACGCCGCGUGUGGGAUGAAGGGGCUACGCCUCGUAAACCACUGUAGCCCGGGACGAAAAACGCCUUAGAGGCGUUAGACGGUACCGGGAAAGUAAGGGUCGGCUAACUACGUGCAAGCAGCCGCGGUAAUACGUAGGACACAAGCGUUGUCCGGAUUUACUGGGUGUAAAGGGUGCGCAGGCGGAUGGGUAAGUCAGGGGUGAAAGUCUGCAGCUUAACUGUAGAGUUGUCUUUUAUACUGCUUAGAUUGAGUGUGGGAGAGGUUAAUGGAAUUCCAGGUGGAGCAGGGAAAUGCGUAGAGAGCUGGAAGAACACUAGUGGCGAAGGCGGUCAACUGGCCCAUAACUGACGCUCAUGCACGAGAGCGUGGGGAGCAAAC